UGCUGCCAUCAGUUCUUGAGUUCGCAUCAAGAGUAAAAUCUUAAAUCAGGAGUCAACAAAAUGGCCAAGUUCCUAGUUAUCAUAUUAGCGGUGCUUCUGGUCGGUGCAUUGGCAUCUCCUGUUGCCCAACAGAACGAGGAACUAGCUGUCGAAACUACGGUGGCUUCCAAAGUGAUUAGGUCAGCAGACCCAAAUCCAGAUCGUUAUCGUGGAAAACAAUAUAACGGUGGAAAACAUGGGUAUGACCAUGGACACGAUCACUAUCAUGACCACAAACAUGAUCACCGCAAACAUCAUUGAAGUGGGCAUGAAAAUCGAGAGAGGUGAUACAAAGUUUUCACAAGUGACGAGCUACAGUGGAGAUGACGACGGCUGGUAAUUCUCAGGGACUGCACAGAAAUCAUUUAAUGAAAUAUUUACUCUUUCUUAGAAUAUUUUUAACUGUUAUAUCUGAAUCGGAAUGUUUCUCAUAUUGAUUACAUUAUUUCAAGUGGUUAUGGAGGACGAAAAAAAAAUUGAAAAUUUUUGAUUGUAUAGUAGCAUGAGGGAAGCAUCAUGAGCCCUUAUGUAUAUACAGAUAGAUGUGAAUCGG